CCUACGGGAGGCAGCAGUGGGGGAUAUUGCACAAUGGGGGAAACCCUGAUGCAGCGACGCCGCGUGGGUGAAGAAGCGCCUCGGCGCGUAAAGCCCUGUCAGCAGGGAAGAAAAUGACGGUACCUGAAGAAGAAGCCCCGGCUAACUACGUGCCAGCACCCGCGGUAAUACGUAGGGGGCAAGCGUUAUCCGGAUUUACUGGGUGUAAAGGGGGCGCAGACGGGGAUGCAAGCCAGGAGUGAAAGUCCGCGGCCCAACCCCGGGACUGGUCUUGGAACUGGGAGGCUAGAGUGCAGGAGGGGCAGGCGGAAUUCCUGGUGUAGCGGUGAAAUGCGUAGAUAUCAGGAGGAACACCGGUGGCGAAGGCGGCCUGCUGAACUGCAACUGACAGUGAGGCCCGAAAGCGUGGGGAGCAAACAGGAUUAGAGACCCUGGUAGUC
rnacentral:rRNA from 1 species